AUUGAACGCUGGCGGCGGCCUAACACAUGCAAGUCGAGCGGAUGAAGGGAGCUUGCUCCUGGAUUCAGCGGCGGACGGGUGAGUAAUGCCUAGGAAUCUGCCUGGUAGUGGGGGAUAACGUCCGGAAACGGGCGCUAAUACCGCAUACGUCCUGAGGGAGAAAGUGGGGGAUCUUCGGACCUCACGCUAUCAGAUGAGCCUAGGUCGGAUUAGCUAGUUGGUGGGGUAAAGGCCUACCAAGGCGACGAUCCGUAACUGGUCUGAGAGGAUGAUCAGUCACACUGGAACUGAGACACGGUCCAGACUCCUACGGGAGGCAGCAGUGGGGAAUAUUGGACAAUGGGCGAAAGCCUGAUCCAGCCAUGCCGCGUGUGUGAAGAAGGUCUUCGGAUUGUAAAGCACUUUAAGUUGGGAGGAAGGGCAGUAAGUUAAUACCUUGCUGCUUUGACGUUACCAACAGAAUAAGCACCGGCUAACUUCGUG
rnacentral:rRNA from 1 species